GUGUCCAAAUUGGAUAUUUAAGUCCAAAGCUUCUGUUUAUGUAAUGGAUUUGGCCCAAUAUCUUCGUGCAAAUUGUUGUUGGUAGGACUUUUUAAGUCCGAAAUGUUAUUACUAGCCCUUUAGGGGGCUGCUGCUCCCUGCUUUGUUUGAAUUCUCAACCCAAUAAACUAAGCCUUCCUUUCGUAACUUGGUAGAGGUUUGACUCGAAAAGAAGAGAAGUAUGCA
rnacentral:lncRNA from 1 species